rnacentral:rRNA from 1 species
AACGUAGGAGGCAAGCGUUAUCCGGAGUUACUGGGCGUAAAGUGUGCGCAGGCGGCGUUGCAAGUCGAGUGUGAAAGCCCCGGGCUUAACUUGGGAAUUGCGCUCGAAACUACGAUGCUGGAGUGUGGCAGAGGAAGGUGGAAUUCCACGUGUAGCGGUGAAAUGCGUAGAGAUGUGGAGGAACACCGAUGGCGAAGGCAGCCUUCUGGGCCAACACUGACGCUCAUGCACGAAAGCGUGGGGAGCAAACAGG